rnacentral:rRNA from 1 species
AAAUUGAAGAGUUUGAUCAUGGCUCAGAUUGAACGCUGGCGGCAGGCCUAACACAUGCAAGUCGAACGGUAACAGGAAGCAGCUUGCUGCUUCGCUGACGAGUGGCGGACGGGUGAGUAAUGUCUGGGAAACUGCCUGAUGGAGGGGGAUAACUACUGGAAACGGUAGCUAAUACCGCAUAAUGUCGCAAGACCAAAGAGGGGGACCUUCGGGCCUCUUGCCAUCGGAUGUGCCCAGAUGGGAUUAGCUUGUUGGUGGGGUAACGGCUCACCAAGGCGACGAUCCCUAGCUGGUCUGAGAGGAUGACCAGCCACACUGGAACUGAGACACGGUCCAGACUCCUACGGGAGGCAGCAGUGGGGAAUAUUGCACAAUGGGCGCAAGCCUGAUGCAGCCAUGCCGCGUGUAUGAAGAAGGCCUUCGGGUUGUAAAGUACUUUCAGCGGGGAGGAAGGGAGUAAAGUUAAUACCUUUGCUCAUUGACGUUAUCCGCAGAAGAAGCACCGGCUAACUCCGUGCCAGCAGCCGCGGUAAUACGGAGGGUGCAAGCGUUAAUCGGAAUUACUGGGCGUAAAGCGCACGCAGGCGGUUUGUUAAGUCAGAUGUGAAAUCCCCGGGCUCAACCUGGGAACUGCAUCUGAUACUGGCAAGCUUGAGUCUCGUAGAGGGGGGUAGAAUUCCAGGUGUAGCGGUGAAAUGCGUAGAGAUCUGGAGGAAUACCGGUGGCGAAGGCGGCCCCCUGGACGAAGACUGACGCUCAGGUGCGAAAGCGUGGGGAGCAAACAGGAUUAGAUACCCUGGUAGUCCACGCCGUAAACGAUGUCGACUUGGAGGUUGUGCCCUUGAGGCGUGGCUUCCGGAGCUAACGCGUUAAGUCGACCGCCUGGGGAGUACGGCCGCAAGGUUAAAACUCAAAUGAAUUGACGGGGGCCCGCACAAGCGGUGGAGCAUGUGGUUUAAUUCGAUGCAACGCGAAGAACCUUACCUGGUCUUGACAUCCACGGAAGUUUUCAGAGAUGAGAAUGUGCCUUCGGGAACCGUGAGACAGGUGCUGCAUGGCUGUCGUCAGCUCGUGUUGUGAAAUGUUGGGUUAAGUCCCGCAACGAGCGCAACCCUUAUCCUUUGUUGCCAGCGGUCCGGCCGGGAACUCAAAGGAGACUGCCAGUGAUAAACUGGAGGAAGGUGGGGACGACGUCAAGUCAUCAUGGCCCUUACGACCAGGGCUACACACGUGCUACAAUGGCGCAUACAAAGAGAAGCGACCUCGCGAGAGCAAGCGGACCUCAUAAAGUGCGUCGUAGUCCGGAUUGGAGUCUGCAACUCGACUCCAUGAAGUCGGAAUCGCUAGUAAUCGUGGAUCAGAAUGCCACGGUGAAUACGUUCCCGGGCCUUGUACACACCGCCCGUCACACCAUGGGAGUGGGUUGCAAAAGAAGUAGGUAGCUUAACCUUCGGGAGGGCGCUUACCACUUUGUGAUUCAUGACUGGGGUGAAGUCGUAACAAGGUAACCGUAGGGGAACCUGCGGUUGGAUCACCUCCUU